rnacentral:rRNA from 1 species
UGGGGAAUAUUGCACAAUGGGCGAAAGCCUGAUGCAGCGACGCCGCGUGAGCGAAGAAGUAUUUCGGUAUGUAAAGCUCUAUCAGCAGGGAAGAUAAUGACGGUACCUGACUAAGAAGCACCGGCUAAAUACGUGCCAGCAGCCGCGGUAAUACGUAUGGUGCAAGCGUUAUCCGGAUUUACUGGGUGUAAAGGGAGCGCAGGCGGUGCGGCAAGUCUGAUGUGAAAGCCCGGGGCUCAACCCCGGUACUGCAUUGGAAACUGUCGUACUAGAGUGUCGGAGGGGUAAGCGGAAUUCCUAGUGUAGCGGUGAAAUGCGUAGAUAUUAGGAGGAACACCAGUGGCGAAGGCGGCUUACUGGACGAUAACUGACGCUGAGGCUCGAAAGCGUGGGGAGCAAACAGGA